ensembl:misc_RNA Metazoa_SRP Metazoan signal recognition particle RNA
GCUGGGUACAGUGGUGUGUGCCUGUAGUCCCAGCUACUUGGGAGGCUGAGGUGGGAGGAUAGCUUGGGCCCAGGAGUUUGAGGGUGCAGUGAUCUAGGAUUGUGCCACCACACCCUAGCCUGGGCAAUAGAACAAGACCACAUUUCUU